AAUAUUAACAAUUUCUCAUUACGUAAAAAGUCACUGACUCCUAUCCUAAUCUGAGACGAUUGCGCGCACUGCGAUUCUUCGGUUCCCACAAUCUGUCCAGCGUAUUAUGAUUAUCCUGCUGUCGGUCACCAUGCCGACUUUCAAGAGAACACACGAAAAAAUGUCGGAUUCGAUGCGAGACGAGCGACAGCUAUGUGUGCUUUUAACUCCUUGUUCACCUUUGACUUCCUUUUACAAGGAAAAAGAGAAUAUUCUUGUUAAAAAUUCAACUGGAAAUAUUGGAAAUACAGUAGCGUGCAGGUUAUAUAGCGCGGUGAAAGAAGAAUUUGCUUCGCGUUAUUGCGCGUUGUCACGCUACGUUUAAUAUUAUUUUUCUAUUGAGGUUAAGAGGUGUAUCAUGAGUGGAAUUGUUUUUAUGCGAACUGACUGACAGUCGAAAUAAACCUAUGCUUGUCGUUUAAUCUAAAUAGACUUUUGCCGGUUAGUGGAUCGUGGAUAUUUUGUACGGCAAAUCUAAUAUAUAACUUAUAUUUCAAAGUAACGAAUUCAAAGUAAAAUGUUAUUUUUCGUUAACUCUUCCAAAGUGACAAUGAACUUAGUUUAAAUCGUGUCCACGAAAGAACAGUCGUAGUAUGUGUAUAAUAGGUAUAAGUAUAUUAAUAAGUUUUUCGUAACUUUUAUAAAAUCACUAAGAUUUCAGAAAUACCUAAUAAUCUUGAAGUUUAUAAACUCAGAGAAGAAAUUAGAAUGAAUAGUUCGGAUGCUUCGACCAUAAUCCAUCACAAGCAUGACUUGAUAUUAUAAGACAAGGCUAAUUUUACUUUAGCGAGAUUAUUCUUCCGUCUUUUAAGCCAAGCAAUAGUGGUUAAGAUAACCGGAUCGGUUGCCGGCACGAUAGCCUUGAGAGAGGGUGCGUUUCACGAGGUGCCCGCAUAGUACGGCGCGUAUACUUCUCGAUUUCUUUGAAUUUUGUCUCGUAGCUAGACCAAAAGUCCACCCUCGUUGUUAGGGAACAUGCAUGUAAAGAGGAGACACGUAAUACAACGGAACGACGACGCCGCGAGAGACAAGCGUGGAAAGAGGCUGCUAUACACACCCGCAUGCGAUCCCGUACAAACCGUAACCUUACACGAACGUCGCGCUAAGUGUGUACUGUGUAUCGAUCCCGAGAGUACACACGAAGACAGCUCUGAGCGCCACCACGUUCUCUCUCUGUCUCUCGUAGGAGAGGCGCUGUCUCUUGUUGUUGCUUUCGUUAGAACGCCGACGGUUACUUAGACCCGGUACGUAUUUCAAACAUGAGCUUGGAAAGAAAUUAUUGAAACUCGAUCGCACACCACACCAAUCUUUUCAUUUCCAUGCAACAUCGGCUAACAAUGAGAACAAGGACAUGGUUAAAGGCUUUUCACGCGACUUAUUCGCCGGCUCCGUAUACCGGUUAUGAUCGUCGAAUAAAUCCAAAGGAUACGUAUCGUUGUUAUGUAUUUAGGUAGCUAUUAAGUGAAAAAGUUCUCUUACCUUAAUUUUCAGUGAAUAAUCUGAACACUGACACACAACGAUACAACACACACUCCACACCCGACGAAGGUUCGAGCUCGACUGAAAGUCUUCGCGGAGUGGGUUGGCGGGUGGCGCCACGGCCAAUCCCAACGUACUAACACGCAAUUCCAUCUUCCUCGUAAGACGUAUGUAUAGUUCGCUCCGACGAAUUGUUCCGCUCGAGGUAAAUAUCGAAGAGAAAACACUUCUCCUGUUCUGCACACCCUUCGAUUAAACGCUCGAUGACAUUGUUUGCUGUCUCUAACCCUAUCCAAGAUCCCAAUUGUGCCCUGACGUGUUGAAUAAGAGAAGCUUCGUGAUAUUCUCGUAAAUUGAAACGAUCUAUUCGAGCAGACCGUGCAAUAUAGGAGCCACUUGACUCUCUUUGCUCUACUAUGCAAGGAAUAUGUAUGAAUUUCGAUGUAUUAUGAACAGCGAUACGUUUCAUAGCUUAUGCUUAUGGAUUUCUCGUAUCUCUUCGCGUAUACAAUAAACGUGCAGAGUGUGCUGCAUUAUA